GUCUUUAUGUUGUUUCUAUCUGGGCCUGUUUGUUUCCUCAAUGUAUCUGAUGAACAACUAGACAUAAAGCACUUUGUUCUACACAUGAAGACUAUUAUCUCAUAUUCUGCAGCUUGCACGCUGGUGUUCAGAGUGACCAGGAACUCUUUAAAAUGUUACAUCUGCUGACACUUCUCGUGGCCAUUUUUAUGGCAGAGAUUAAUCCAGGCCAUGUGAGUAUUUAGUAUAAGAAAAUAACAUGUGACUGUCUAUCUCUAUUCUUUAACUUUGGUUUGAACACUAUGCAGCUAAAAUAAUCUUUAGGAUAACCAUCUUGUAUCCGUUCAGACGAUCAUUUGGCAUCAACACUCGUUUUACAGAAAGCAUUCAUGUGGACAGUUUACGCAACUGUAUGAGCAAGAAAAAAUGGCCCCACCUCUUAAGUUGAAAGCACCCUUCCUGGAGCAGUUUGAUUACACACAUUGCUGAGCUACAAUCAUACGCACCAUGAUGAACCUUACCUUGAUAACAGCUUUCAUUCUCUGCAGCAUCAGCUGGAUCUCUGUCUCAGUUUCUGAGUCUCACACUGUGGACGUCCAGCCUGGUGAAAACGUCACACUGCAGUGCACCAACAUUUACAAAGUUCAAGCAAUAACAUCCUGGUUCAGACUGGUCAACAGAGCCAAAGCCAGCUGUAUCUCAACUAUGAUCAACUCUAAAACUGUUAAAUACUGUGAUGGAUUUAAAAAUGGAAAAUUUCAAAUGAGCUCCAACAUUUCCACAACCUCUCUCAACAUUAAGGAAGUGGAUUUAUCUGACUCAGGGGUUUAUUUCUGUGGAUUUUUACUCAGAAGUGGACAGACAGUUUUAAGUGUCAUACAUUUAAAUGUCGAAGGCAGUGAUGAUGAAUCAUAUGAUGACAUUGACAGAAAGUCUAAACGUAAGAGUCUCUUAUAGAUUUCAUUGUGCAAAAUUCAUUUGUCCAUUUUAAUGUUCGUCAUUUUUAGCUAGAAAAGGAGAAACAGUCUGAUUAAAGAUCUUUCUUGUGGCAGAGUCGGAUGCAACAACAAAGCUGAUGGGUGUGAUCUUGGUGAUCUUGGGCAGUCUGUUUGUUCUCCACACUACGGUCAUCAUUGGUCUGGUUGUUAAAAACAGAAAACUUCAGAGAGCUAAUGAAGAAAAGAAUCGACAACAGAGUGAGAAUCUGGGCUCUGAUGACCUGAACUAUGCAGCAGUAACUUUCUGUCCAAAAGCAAAAAGAAGAGCAGUGGAGCCAAAUGUUGUGUAUGCUGCCACCAGAUAGACUCAAGAAACAAGAAAAGCUAUUCAGAUGGGAACUGAUGCUUUUUCAUGUGAAUCUGCACUUGUGUUUUUAUGUGUUUUUGUGUGUUUGGUGGACAGGAGACCAUCACUUUGGCAGAAAAAAAGAUGCAUAACAGUUGCAUCUUCUUUCUAGUGCUGAGUUUUAUUCCAUAUCACUCUUGUAAAGAUGUUAUUACAGUACAUCAAUACAGAAACUUAAGCUUUAAAUGUUGACUUAAUAUAGACUGUAUGCACAGUACAUACAGUAUGUCAGUGUGUCUAUAGUGGUACGUGGAAGAAAAUAGUCUACAGCUAACAUCCAGGUGUGUUUUUUAGCAUGUAACAUGUAUUUAUGCUCUCAGUCGUCCAUCCUGCCACUUUCAAGUGUAACAAACAGAACUGUCUGUGUCAGCCUAAAAGAGACAUCUCAACCACAGCAAGAAUGGCCUUCAGCUCUGUACUAUUUUCUCCAGUGUGUUACUUUCACAAUGUAGCAACAACCACAAAACACACCAAAUAAAACUGCUACUACAUUUUGUUUUUUCUGACUUCUGAAGAACUGUGUUGGUAAAAGGUGCAGCACUUGAAGACAUUGAAAAAACAGAGAUUGCAGUGUGAGAUACAGUAUGUGACUCCAAUUCUCUGAUUUACAGUAUUUGGGCUCAGAUGAGCUGAACUCUUCAGUGCUGAGGUUCCUUCCAAAAACAAUAAGAAGCAGGAGGCCAGCAGCAGAGAGAGAGGAGGAAACUCAUGUUGUUUAUGCUGCCACUAGAUAGACUCAGGAAGCAACUGGAACUGCAGCUCUGAUGCUU